UUCGCCUUGCCAGCAGCCCCCCUCCUGGGACAACUCUGAGCUAGAGGGAGCGAGCGCGACCCUGGGCGCGGGUGUAAAUGAGUCACCUGAGCGCUGAGGGGCAGCGGCGAGAGUGCACGCGCGUGGGCGGGUGGGGAGUGGCGCGGGCAGCGAGCAUGGCCCGGAGCGGCCAGGUGGGGAGGGAGCAGGCCGAGUGGAGAGCUGAGGCGGCCGAGGGGCGCGGCCGCUAAGAGGAGACCAAGAGGUGGGGGCUGCACUUGAGGACCAGCUUGCCGAGACGAACUCAACAAAAAUCCAGUGGAAGGCUUUUUAGCAGGUUUAAUAGACGACAAUGAUCUCUAUCGUUGGGAAGUCCUUAUUAUUGGUCCUCCAGAUACACUUUAGAAAAACAGUGGCUCUGUCAGCAACCAUGGCACAGGAAGGUCACCUUUUCAUCCUGGUGCUAACAUCCAGCUGGAGUGGCGGUAUUACCAAAAUAAAAUCCUGAAAGGAGAAGCAGGUACACAUGAGUGUUUAAAAGCCAUGACAGGAAAACUCGAAGAUCUCAGGGAAGUCUGUUUUUUGAAGUGUUCAGGAACGAGAGGUGUUUUAUUAUCUUUAGUGUGAUGUUUUCUACCAUUUUUGUACGAGGAGUUUUUCCUGUGUUGAAUUUUGGUUCUUAAGUUGGAAAGUAAAGCAACCUAGUAAUAUUCUUCAUUCCUACCUUUGCUCUCUUUUUUUAAUGUGUUGUUUUCCCUUUAUUGUUUAUGAAAAUGAAACCAUAUCUUUGUAAUAAUAAAAACUUUGAGGUGAUGCAUCAAAUUAUUCUAAUAAACUUAUGAUUGUGCCUAUGUAAAUUAUAUUUCCAUAGUACUAGUUAUUUUUACUUAGCAUUUGUCCUUGGCAAAAUGGCUUUUUGUAAUUCCUUUUAUAUCUCGGUCUCAACUUUAAGUCAGGAUAUUAAGCCUUGUGUCUGACAGUUAAAAAUAAACAUGAAACACUGCUUGUCUUUUU